rnacentral:piRNA from 1 species
CUCCUCUUCUGUGAGCAGACCCCGG